rnacentral:rRNA from 1 species
GGGGAAUGUUGCACAAUGGGGGAAACCCUGAUGCAGCAACGCCGCGUGAGCGAUGAAGGCCUUCGGGUUGUAAAGCUCUGUCUUCAGGGACGAUAAUGACGGUACCUGAGGAGGAAGCCACGGCUAACUACGUGCCAGCAGCCGCGGUAAUACGUAGGUGGCAAGCGUUGUCCGGAAUUAUUGGGCGUAAAGGAUGCGUAGGCGGUCCUUUAAGUGGGAUGUGAAAUCCCUGGGCUUAACCCAGGAAUAGCAUUCCAAACUGGAGGACUAGAGUGCAGGAGAGGAAAGUGGAAUUCCCAGUGUAGCGGUGAAAUGCGUAGAGAUUGGGAGGAACACCAGUGGCGAAGGCGGCUUUCUGGACUGUAACUGACGCUGAGGCAUGAAAGCGUGGGGAGCAAAC